AUACUUAAGUGUAUAACAUUUAAAUUUUUGGUAUUUAAGAUUUUAAUUAACUUUAAAAAGUAUAAG
rnacentral:tRNA from 1 species